rnacentral:tRNA from 1 species
UCUAAUAUGGCAGAUUAGUGCAAUGGACUUAAACUCCUUAUAUAAAGUAAAAUAAGCUUUUUUUAGAA